ACUCGGAGCUUCGGGCUCUUGCUCGCUGACUGCCUGCGCUGCGCUGGACGCUGGACGCGACUUCUGAGGCCAGGAGCAGCAGCAGAGGGCGCGGGCCACCGGAGGGCAGCAGCGGGCGCCUGCGGAGGCCGUUCGCCCCGUUCAGCGCGCGACUCCGGGCAGGCAGGGAGUGUCUCCUGCCUCUCUCCCGGGCCCCUUCGCGUACAGGACUGUACGCCAUCCAUCGCGCCUUGAGAAUUGAACCCAGACGGAAUUGGUGGGCCAGGGGACAUGUUUUAGGGGAACCGGGAAGGCUCCAAAGCCCAGAGAGCAGCGUUUUGGUUUGGCUGGGCUGGGUUUGGUUUGGUCUCCUUUGGUUCGGUUUCCUUUCGUUUGUUUGGUUCGCAUCUUGGUGCGUUUGGGUGGCCCGCCAGACCCUUCCAGCUCUCUAACGCGAGUGGAGAAGAAGGAAGUGGAGUUGGCAGAGAGGAGAGCUGGGCCCCAACAGGCAGACAGUUCCAGAGAGAGGACAGACAGUAUGGUCUUGCCCCUCUCCUCUCAGGAGCUCUGCUGAGCAGGGAGCAGUUGGACCUCUCAGCCAGGAAGUUGGCGCUCCUCCUCCUGGCCAGGCCCCUCCUCCCUGUUUCCAUCUCUCAAAAGUCACCCUCACCAAAAGGGCAUUUUCGGGUAGAUGGCCUCUUGCUCAGCCCCCCACAGGGAGGGCUUCUGUCAAGUGUGCCCGUCUCUGCUCCUUCUGACAUCAACCCUCCCUCUGUAAGUCAGCACGAGUUUUCUCUCCCAUUCUGAAUUCGAAUGCGGUCACGUUUUCAGCAGCUUCCUUCACGUAUUACUUUGACCAGGUAGCUAGGGUUUUGGAGAGGUUUUGUUUUCUAUUGCCAAAAAUUCCCACACCACCCCGCAGCCAGAAUAGGUAAUCCAACGUCCUUCAUUCUCUUCUGGAAUCCUGAGAAAGAUGUCUUAUGUGACUCCUGUUUUGGGUGUGGGGGGUGGGGGGUUCGGUGUGGGGGAGAGGGCUUGAUCUUUCGUGGUGCAUGGUCGUGAUAAGUACUCGCUUCCAAGGCAGGGUUGUUCCCAAGGACCCGACGAGACUCUGCAUGGACCAAAAGACCUAACUCCUUGAUUCCACGCUCUUGGUUAUAAAAAUAACUAACUAACUAAAUAAAUAUGAAUAAAAACCAUUAAAAAAAAGUUGUUGCCCACAGCCACCCGCUGGGCAGAAGGGACACGGGUGGGGUUUGGGGUCCAGGAGAGAGAGGAAGGUGGAGAGGGAAGAAGAUGCCUUGAGGUGAGAAUCCAAAAUAACGGCCCUGGGUGCUGGCUGGCCUACAGGAGUCAAGAGAAGCCCAGAGGCAAGGGGGUGGGGAAAUUGCAGAGAGGUGUUAUGGGCUGGGAAACGGACAUAAUCCCGUAGAGCAUGGGUAUCUGCCCAGCUGUAGUGCCCAUAAAGGCUUCUGAGAAAUUAAAGGUCUCCCGCCCUCUUCCCCACUCAACUCCCACCACACCCAUCCCACCCCAAGAAUUGAGUGAGCAAGGGGGGGCAGGAGCUCACAAGUGGAGUGAAAUAUUUUCAGCCUCUUCAUGCAUGCUUUUAGCUCCAUGGCCUCUAACUUUCCCCAUCUGCCUCCUGGUGUUUAUGUGAAACACCGGGACUGUGGCGUGCUGACUGUGAUACGUGUUUGGAGGCAAGCAGGUAAAAACACAAAACAAAAGAAAACAGAACAGAAGAUGAGAAGAAUCGUGGAAUCCUGCUUCGGGACUUGGAGGAGAGCCAUGCUCACUCAUCCAGGGGCUCAUCCAGGGGCUGAACAGUCCCUUCCUAAGGCCCUCUCUAUAAACAAAGCCUAGGUCGCCUUCGCCCUCCAGACUGAGAGUCUUACAAGGAGCUACCCAGAACCCCGUGACAGGAGAGAGAACGGCUCUAACACCCAACAGCCCGAAUGAGCCUUGCUGCAACAAGGCACGUUUUCCAACCCCCGUGGCCCAUGGGCAUCCCCCAUCUGUGAUCGAAACCUCCCAAGGAAAACCGAGAUCAUCAAUUUAUUCAGAAGCCACCUCAAAUGCAAGAGCACAGGUUUUCUUUCAAACAUCUUUCGCAGUGUAUGAUGUACAGUAGGAUGCUUCCGGGCCUCUGGCAGGGAAGACAUAAAGAACUCGAUGUUCUUUGUCGAUGCACGCCCAUUUCGCCUGUUGGUGCUGAAUCUGAAUCCGUGUGUCUGCUUUGAAUGGAGAGAGGGAGCGUGGUGUCACGAGAGCAGAGAGAUUCCUGCACGGGGCUUCUCCUCAUCUUGGGCCUCUUCUCGCAGACAGUGGGAACGCUGGAAGGUCCACUUGCAAUUGGACUCUGACGAUCUCCCAGGAGCAAGCGCUGUGUGCCUUUGCCUUCAGAUAGCGGAAGAACCCUCGGAAGUAGGUGCGGAUGGCCAGGGCAAAAGGCAGUGGACAGGACUGGCCCUGCUCUCUUGGCCUCUUCAGCACUUGCAGCUCACGCCACAGGCUAGAUAGUAGCUGGUCCAGCGCCCUCUCGUGCCAGGAGCAGCAGCAGAGGGCGCGGGCCACCGGAGGGCAGCAGCGGGCGCCUGUGGAGGCCGUUCGCCCCGUUCAGCGCUCGACUCCGGGCAGGCAGGGAGUGUCUCCUGCCUCUCUCCCGGGCCCCUUCGCGUACAGGACUGUACGCCAUCCAUCGCGCCUUGAGAAUUGAACCCAGACGGAAUUGGUGGGCCAGGGGACAUGUUUUCGGGGAACCGGGAAGGCUCCAAAGCCCAGAGAGCAGCGUUUUGGUUUGGCUGGGCUGGGUUUGGUUUGGUCUCCUUUGGUUCGGUUUCCUUUCGUUUGUUUGGUUCGCAUCUUGGUGCGUUUGGGUGGCCCGCCAGACCCUUCCAGCUCUCUAACGCGAGUGGAGAAGAAGGAAGUGGAGUUGGCAGAGAGGAGAGCUGGGCCCCAACAGGCAGACAGUUCCAGAGAGAGGACAGACAGUAUGGUCUUGCCCCUCUCCUCUCAGGAGCUCUGCUGAGCAGGGAGCAGUUGGACCUCUCAGCCAGGAAGUUGGCGCUCCUCCUCCUGGCCAGGCCCCUCCUCCCUGUUUCCAUCUCUCAAAAGUCACCCUCACCAAAAGGGCAUUUUCGGGUAGAUGGCCUCUUGCUCAGCCCCCCACAGGGAGGGCUUCUGUCAAGUGUGCCCAUCUCUGCUCCUUCUGACAUCAACCCUCCCUCUGUAAGUCAGCACGAGUUUUCUCUCCCAUUCUGAAUUCGAAUGCGGUCACGUUUUCAGCAGCUUCCUUCACGUAUUACUUUGACCAGGUAGCUAGGGUUUUGGAGAGGUUUUGUUUUCUAUUGCCAAAAAUUCCCACACCACCCCGCAGCCAGAAUAGGUAAUCCAACGUCCUUCAUUCUCUUCUGGAAUCCUGAGAAAGAUGUCUUAUGUGACUCCUGUUUUGGGUGUGCGGGGUGGGGGGUUGGAUGUGGGGGAGAGGGCUUGAUCUUUCGUGGUGCAUGGUCGUGAUAAGUACUGCUUCCAAGGCAGGGUUGUUCCCAAGGACACGAGACUGUGCAUGGACCAAAAGACCUAACUCCUUGACUCCACGCUCUUGGUUAUAAAAAUAAAUAACUAAAUAAAUAUG
rnacentral:lncRNA from 1 species